UGGGGAAUAUUGCGCAAUGGGGGAAACCCUGACGCAGCAACGCCGCGUGAAGGAUGAAGGUUCUCGGAUCGUAAACUUCUUUGAUCAGGGACGAAAAAAAUGACGGUACCUGAAAAACAAGCCACGGCUAACUACGUGCCAGCAGCCGCGGUAAUACGUAGGUGGCAAGCGUUAUCCGGAAUUACUGGGUGUAAAGGGCGUGUAGGCGGGACUGUAAGUCAGAUGUGAAAUUCUGGGGCUCAACCCCAGCGCUGCAUCUGAAACUAUAGUUCUUGAGUGCUGGAGAGGAAAGCGGAAUUCCUAGUGUAGCGGUGAAAUGCGUAGAUAUUAGGAGGAACACCAGUGGCGAAGGCGGCUUUCUGGACAGUAACUGACGCUGAGGCGCGAAAGCGUGGGGAGCAAACAGG
rnacentral:rRNA from 1 species